UGGCGGACGGGUGAGUAAUGUCUGGGAAGCUGCCUGAUGGAGGGGGAUAACUACUGGAAACGGUAGCUAAUACCGCAUAACGUCGCAAGACCAAAGAGGGGGACCUUCGGGCCUCUUGCCAUCGGAUGUGCCCAGAUGGGAUUAGCUAGUAGGUGGGGUAACGGCUCACCUGGGCGACGAUCCCUAGCUGGUCUGAGAGGAUGACCAGCCACACUGGAACUGAGACACGGUCCAGACUCCUACGGGAGGCAGCAUG
rnacentral:rRNA from 1 species